rnacentral:rRNA from 1 species
ACGGCUCAGUAACACGUAGCUAACCUGCCCCACAGCCCGUAAUACCCUCGGGAAACUGAGGCUAAGGACGGAUAAUUGAUGAUUUCUGGAACGAUUUAUCAAUGAAAGCUAGCGGUGGGAUGGGCUGCGGCUGAUUAGGUAGUUGGCGGGGUAACUGCCCACCAAGCCAAUGAUCAGUAAGGGCCUUUAGCGAGGAAGCCCUGAGAGGGAGUCUGAGACACUAGUCCCAGCACUAUGGUGUGCAGCAGGCGGGAAAAUUCUCCAAUGUUCGAAAGAAUGAGAGAGGAAUCCAAAGUGCUUCUCAAUUUGAGAGGCUUUUGUCUACUUUAAAAAGGUGGGCGAAUAAGGACUGGGCAAGACUGGUGCCAGCCGCCGCGGUAAUCCCAGCAGUCCAAGUCGCAGCCACAUUUGUUGUGUCUAAAACAUCCGUAGCUUGCCUUUCAAGUCUCUUGUGAAAUCGGGCCUCUUAAGGGUCCGGCGUGCAAGAGAUACUGUAAGGCUAGAGACCGGGAGACGUAAGAAGUACAAUCGGAGUAGCGGUAAAAUGCGUUGAUCCUGAUUGGACUAACAAUAGCGAAGGCAUCUUACGAUAACGGUUCUGACAGUGAGGGAUGAAGGCUAGGGGCGCAAAACGGAUUAGAUACCCAUGUAGUCCUAGCAGUAAACACUGCACACUAAACAUCAGUACCUCUUCGAGAGGUAUUGGUGCUGUAGGGAAGCCGGAGAGUGUGCUACCUGGGAAGUAUAGUCGCAAGACCGAAACUUAAAGGAAUUGGCGGGGGAGCAC